rnacentral:rRNA from 1 species
UACAGAGGUCCCAAGCGUUGUUCGGAUUCAUUGGGCGUAAAGGGUGCGUAGGUGGCGCCGUAAGUCAGGUGUGAAAUCUCGGGGCUCAACCCCGAAACUGCACUUGAUACUGCGGUGCUCGAGUACUGGAGAGGAGAUUGGAAUUUACGGUGUAGCAGUGAAAUGCGUAGAUAUCGUAAGGAAGACCAGUGGCGAAGGCGAAUCUCUGGACAGUUACUGACACUGAGGCACGAAGGCCAGGGGAGCAAACGGG